GUACUCACCUUGUGCGGGGGCCUUCUUGACCACCGAGGACGAACCCUCCAGGGCAAGGCACGGGCAUUGCACUGCGAUCCCAUUCGUCCCUGCCACUACCACAGAUUGGGCAGAUGGGGCAUGCAAAUUUCUAAAAUCCGGUUCAACGCAAGAAACGGC
rnacentral:snRNA from 1 species